CAAGUGCAGGCUGUAUAAAAAUUUAUUGACAACUGCUCCAAAAUAGUUAUGGUAAUGUAAGGAGGCACAUGUGUACCUCCUUAUGAUCCUAAAUCCAGUGACUACAGAUUCUGGGAAAGAAGAAGAGGAAUGCAUAACAGGAAAUGGUCAGGGUCACGUCCUAGCCUUAUACAAUACUGCUUGCUGUUACCACCAGGAGUAGAUACACUAUAGUCUAGAUGGGCCAUAUGUUCAGCACAGUAAGGCACUAAUAAUGCUUUUAUGCUUGAAGACAUGGCUGAAGAAAGGCCCUCUUCCCCAUAGGAAAAACAGCUGGCAUAGUUUUACUUGUAAUUGCUGUCAUACUUCAAAAUUAAAAAGAAUUGGCCCAAAUUCUGAAGUCCUGUUGCCUGCUACAGCACAGAAGCUAAAUUCAGAAUGGUUUCUAUUUUGGAAAAAACUCCUUUCCUCUUGCCCCCUGUGCAGUCCCUACUCAUACUACUCCCUGCUGCCUGUUGUAAUAGUGACUUCUUCACAAAACUUCCAGCCAAGUAAGCUUGCCUUAUAGCAUCACAAAGGAGUUAUUCUAACAAUGACCUACCAAUGACAAGUCUGCUCCUGUCUCCAUGACCCCACAGCUGUGACAGUUACAUUAAUAAAGUACACAGCACAUGUGCCACACAGGAUUUCAUCCUCCUCUCUUCACUUCAGGGGUGAAGAAAAGAAAGGAAACAAAGCAGAAAUAGAAGAACAGAAUUUCUCCAAUUUGAAAGGAUGCAAGAAAACAGGAGAAAUAUGGAGACAGCACAGAUCUCUGAAACCCCUGGAGCACUUGAAAGCUUCUUUGCCGCAUUAACUUCAUCCCUGGCUUCAAGAAAAGAAAUUCCCUAUUGCCACUGAAUCACACAGUUAAAAUUGAAAAUACUAAGGAACAAGAUGGAAACAGAAAAUUGCUGAGGAUCAAUUUGACUAAGUAAUUAGAAUUAAUUUAAAAAAUACUGAGGAAACAUCUUUGUACUCGGGAAAUGCAAGUUAAUUGAAAAUCUGCUGAAGAAAACCAAAUUUCUGUUAAGGAGGUUACUGUAGUUCAGAGAAGAUUUUCUGAUCAAACCAAAAGGGAAAAGCAUGAAUUCUAGAAUGUUUUGGCAAUCUGCAGAGACAAAGGUAAGACAGACAAAUUCAAACUGCCUAUACAAUGAGACUCAGCUCAGAAAUACUGAACCCUAAAGCUCCAAGUAAGCUCCGACCUACCAACACUGCUGGCUAGUUUGGAAGAAGUGUCUUCUGUGCAUAAGUGAGUGCUCACUCUGACCCACAAAAGAUAGAUUCAGAUUGCAGUCCAAGAUCACCAUAACUAUUUCAAAUUGAGAAAUGUAUACUCAGUAGUGUUUCAUAUGAAACACUGCUGAGAUUUGAAUGCUGUUCCAACAAGCAAAAGAAAUAGCCUGAGUAUCAGAGCAGAUGUUAUUCUGGUUCAGUUAAAUCUUUCAGAGGUGUCUGUUUUGUACCAGUGCAGAACAGGAAAUGGGGUUCCAUGGGAGUAGCCAG